rnacentral:rRNA from 1 species
UACGGGGGGGGCGAGCGUUGUUCGGAAUCACUGGGCGUAAAGGGCGCGUAGGCGGCCCGCACAAGUCUGCGGUGAAAACCCCCGGCUUAACCGGGGGCCGGCCGUGGAAACUGUCGGGCUGGAGGCCGGGAGAGGGCAGCGGAAUUCCCGGUGUAGCGGUGAAAUGCGCAGAUAUCAGGAGGAACACCUAUGGCGAAGGCAGCUCGCUGGGACGUUACUGACGCUGAGACGCGAAAGCGUGGGGAGCAAACAGG